AUCAUUCACUUUAGUUAUUUUUCCAGGAAUUUUUUUUUCUUUCAGUCCUUGCUUAUUUUUCCAUGAACUUUAGAAUAAACUUGUCUAGCUCUAAAAAUAAUUCUCUCCUGAUAUUUUUGUGGGAAUUGCUUUCCACUUACUCUGAAACCAAGUAAACUGUGCGUUGUAAUAUGUGAGUUAUUUCUCUGUUUUUAAAACCUUUUUGUGAUGCUAAGAUUGUACCCAGUGUCACAUGAUUGCUAGGCCAGUGUUUUACAGCUGGGCACUGUCCCCAUGAAAUCUGGCAUGUUCUUAGGAGCAUGUACAUAUUUCUUCACAUAGACCUUGAGUAUUUCCUGUAUGUUUACCUUUCUAGGAAUUUCUGCCUGCUAUAAUUAAAAUGAUGCAAUCUACUAUUUAAUUGUAUGUAUGUAUGUAUGUAUGUAUGUAUGUAUGUAUGUGUUAAGCUGUGAAUUCUGUAUAUUGAGUUUCUUCCAAGUCAUUUUAUCAAAUUUUUACUUUACUUGAGUAUUUUAAGGUGAUCUCUUUAUGUUGGGGCUAUCACAUCAUCUGCCCCAAACUCUUAAUUUACCUUUCUCUCUGUACCUUUAGAAUGCUGCAGGUUGGCUCUAGUCCUGUUGCUGUCUCUAGAAGAAUAUGCUUACUGCCUGCCUUAAGAGUGAGAGUAAACAUCCUGUUACACUUGACUUCAGUGGACAUGUUAUUAAUUGUGGUGGUGGCUUCUGGCAUAUAUAGCAUGUAAAAAACAUGCACACUUAUUUUGAGAGUUUUUAUUUUAAAACUGAAGCUGAUCUGAAAUGCCUAUCUAAAUCUUUUUUAGAUUUUUUUCAUGUAAAAAUGGAAAUCAUACAUUUCAAAAAAUGGCUAUUUUUUUAUUCUGUACAUUUGCUGUGAUAUAUAAAUAAAACUUCAAAUA
rnacentral:lncRNA from 1 species